UACGGAGGGUGCAAGCGUUGUCCGGAAUCACUGGGCGUAAAGGGCGCGUAGGCGGCUCAUGAAGGCUGUGGUGAAAGUCCGGGGCUCAACCUCGGAUCGGCCGUGGCGACUCGUGGGCUGGAGCACUGUAGAGGCGGGUGGAAUUCCGGGUGUAGCGGUGGAAUGCGUAGAGAUCCGGAAGAACACCAGUGGCGAAGGCGGCCCGCUGGGCAGUGGCUGACGCUGAGGCGCGACAGGCGUGGGGAGCAAACGAGGAUU
rnacentral:rRNA from 1 species